rnacentral:rRNA from 1 species
UACGUAGGGCGCAAGCGUUGUCCGGAAUUAUUGGGCGUAAAGAGCUCGUAGGCGGCUUGUCGCGUCGGGAGUGAAAACCUUGGGCUUAACUCAGGGCUUGCUUUCGAUACGGGCAGACUAGAGGUAUGCAGGGGAGAACGGAAUUCCUGGUGUAGCGGUGAAAUGCGCAGAUAUCGGGAGGAACACCCGUGGCGAAGGCGGGUCUCUGGGACGGUACUGACGCUGAGACGCGAAAGCGUGGGGAGCGAACAGG